rnacentral:tRNA from 1 species
GGGGCAGUAGCUCAACUGGGAGAGCGUCGGGCUGGCAGUCCGAAGGUUGUGGGUCCUCCAGACCGGGUUCACUCCCAUCUGUCUCCACCA